rnacentral:lncRNA from 10 species
CGGAGCGCCACCCGGAGCAGGCGCGGAGGAGGGCUGGGGAGGGCCACCAAGGCGACGAGAGCCGGUGUGCCUGAAUCAGCCUAAAGGAGACGGAGGAGGAGUGUGUUUACCUGGAAGGUCCUCUCCUGCGCUGGCUCUGGGGGUGCUUGGAACCAGAGCCCCUUAGUCGAAGCGCGUCCUGCUGCCAGCUACUACCAAGUCCUUAGGCCGAGCCCGUUUCUCUCCUGGUGAUGUGAAUCCUCGUUUUUUGUUGUUGUUGUUGUCGUUUACUGAAGUCCCGGGCUGAUUAGACACAGCAAUGGAAGCUGGGGGUGGCCUGGGCCGUGCAUUGAAUUUGUGACUUUAGCAAGUCCCUAAAUUCCUCUCUGCCUCACUUUUGCUGUCUUUUUUAGGUUAAAAAUAUUUUGGAGAAUAGAAAACAGAACAAAACAAAAAUAAUGGCUUAUAGUGCCAAUAUGGAAUUAUAGUCACUCCUAACAUUUUGGUAUAUUGUUUUGCAUUUGCUUUGUUUCUAUUCUAUGCUUAUAUAUUUUUAAUUUUUUUCCAUCACUGUCAUCAUAUUUCCUAUUCAGGUCUCCAGCCUGCUUUAAAAAUUUUUUAAUCAUAAAGUUCCAUAAAAAUUUUAUUUCAGCCAAUUUCUUUUAUAACACGUUCUUCAUGAAUCUUAUCUGAUAUCUGCAUAAUAUUCCACUCAUACUUUGCACAAUUAGACAUUAAGGUCGUGUGUACUUUUUAAAUUAUGAUACAGCAAUUUCUAAAUAGUGUAUAAUUUCAAUUUUUGUUUCUUAGUUAUCAUAACAGUUCUUAAAAGGUGAUAACAAAUUUUUAAGUGGAUACAUUUUUUCCCCCUUCUUUGGUUUAUAAUUUUAUUGCUCUGUGGUCUGAGAAUGUGGCUGUAUUUACGCUUUUUGAAAUUGAAGUUUUUGAUUGAUGGUUGAUUUCGUAAAUAAGUUUAGGCACAGUUUUGUAUAAAUGAUUGGGCACAAAAUUCUUUAUAUUAGAUCAAGCUUUGUAAAAUGUAUUAUCCAUAUCUGCUAUGUCUUUUUAAAAUUUUUAUCUACUUGAUCUAAUUUCUGAAAGAGCUGUAAGUUUUUUAAAUGUGUUUGUGGAUUUACUAUUUCUUCUUUAUAUAUAUAUAUAUAUAUAUAUAUAU